UGGGGAAUUUUGGACAAUGGGCGAAGGCCUGAUCCAGCAAUGCCGCGUGUGUGAAGAAGGCCUUCGGGUUGUAAAGCACUUUUGUCCGGAAAGAAAUCCUUGGCUCUAAUACAGUCGGGGGAUGACGGUACCGGAAGAAUAAGCACCGGCUAACUACGUGCCAGCAGCCGCGGUAAUACGUAGGGUGCAAGCGUUAAUCGGAAUUACUGGGCGUAAAGCGUGCGCAGGCGGUUUGCUAAGACCGAUGUGAAAUCCCCGGGCUCAACCUGGGAACUGCAUUGGUGACUGGCAGGCUAGAGUAUGGCAGAGGGGGGUAGAAUUCCACGUGUAGCAGUGAAAUGCGUAGAGAUGUGGAGGAAUACCGAUGGCGAAGGCAGCCCCCUGGGCCAAUACUGACGCUCAUGCACGAAAGCGUGGGGAGCAAACAGGAUUAGAUACCCUGGUAGUCCACGCCCUAAACGAUGUCAACUAGUUGUUGGGGAUUCAUUCCUUAGUAACGUAGCUAACGCGUGAAGUUGACCGCCUGGGGAGUACGGUCGCAAGAUUAAAACUCAAAGGAAUUGACGGGGUCAUAGCUGUUUCCU
rnacentral:rRNA from 1 species